GGCCUCGUGGCCCAAUGGCAAGGCGUCUGACUACGAGAUUUCAUCAAUUAAGUUGGAUUCAAAGCAAUCAGGAGAUUCUGGGUUCGACCCCCAGCGAGGUCA